rnacentral:rRNA from 1 species
AGAGUUUGAUCAUGGCUCAGGAUGAACGCUAGCGGAAGGCUUAAUACAUGCAAGUCGAGCGGUAGGUGGCUUCGGCCAUUGAGAGCGGCGCACGGGUGAGUAACGCGUACAUGACCUGCCUGUCAGAAGGGGAUAGCCCUGGGAAACUGGGAUCAAUACCCUAUGGUAUUGAUAUUAUGAAUGAUAUCAAUUAAAGUUGAGGCGCUGACAGAUGGAUGUGCGUCUGAUUAGCUAGUUGGUAGGGUAACGGCCUACCAAGGCGACGAUCAGUAGGGGGCGUGAGAGCGUGGUCCCCCACACGGGUACUGAGACACGGACCCGACUCCUACGGGAGGCAGCAGUAAGGAAUAUUGGUCAAUGCCCGCAAGGGUGAACCAGCCAUUCCGCGUGGAGGAUGAAGGCCCUAUGGGUUGUAAACUUCUUUUAGAUGGGAAGAAAAUGCUAGAUGUAUCUGGUACUGACGGUACCAUCAGAAUAAGCACCGGCUAACUCCGUG